UGGAUGAUGUGGUUAAUUCGAUGCAACGCGUAAAACCUUACCACCUUUGACAUGUACGGAAUCCUUAGAGAUAGAGGAGUGCUCGAAAGAGAACCGUAACACAGGUGCUGCAUGGCUGUCGUCAGCUCGUGUCGUGAGAUGUUGGGUUAAGUCCCGCAACGAGCGCAACCCUUGUCAUUAGUUGCUACAUUCAGUUGGGCACUCUAAUGAGACUGCCGGUGACAAACCGGAGGAAGGUGGGGAUGACGUCAAGUCCUCAUGGCCCUUAUAGGUGGGGCUACACACGUCAUACAAUGGAUGGUACAAAGGGUCGCCAACCCGCGAGGGGGAGCCAAUCCCAUAAAGCCGAUCGUAGUCCGGAUCGCAGUCUGCAACUCGACUGCGUGAAGUCGGAAUCGCUAGUAAUCGUGGAUCAGCAUGUCACGGUGAAUACGUUCCCGGGUCUU
rnacentral:rRNA from 1 species